rnacentral:snoRNA from 1 species
GAGCUGGCCAUAGUAAUGUGAGCCUUAAAGACAAUCAAAGUCAUUAAGGUCCCUGAAAAUGACCGCAACA